rnacentral:lncRNA from 1 species
GGGGUUACUCCCUGUACCUCCCCAAUUUCAACCCCCACCCCCAUUCCAUUUUUACCCUUUGCUCUAUUUUUUCUAUUCCAAUUUUAUCCUUUAGCAAAAAUUUAUAUUUAGAAAUAAAAUUUUAUAAUUUUAUUCUCCCACCCCCACAUAACCUAUUUAUUCUUUUUUUUUUAUCUUCAUGCUUUCAUCUUUACGCUUUCUUCCCAGGAAUUCUUUGUUCUAUUUUUCUAGAAAUUCUUUCUCCCAUUCUUCUUGUAUUUCAAGUGAUAAUUGAGAUAUCGAUUUCUUUUGAAAGAAUUUGUCCUUGAAUUAUUAUAUCUCUGCAUUACAUUGGUGUGGUGGUGUUGUAUCCAACCUUUAAGCAGUGAUCCUCUUCGAGUCGAGGUUAGUAAUACCUUCGUAAAACCGUUAAAACGGAUGGCGACUUCCAUUUACCCUUAAACGGAUGUUGACAUCCGUUAACGGAUUCCCACAUCCGUUUAAGCGUUUUCUAGAUUAUUUUAGAUUAUGUUUUUGUUAGUUUUAUUUUUUAAGAUUUGUGUUUAUUAGUUUUAUUUUUUAAGAUUUGUUUUUAUUAGUUUAUUUUUUAGGAUUUGUUUUUAUUAGUUUUAUUUUUUUAAGAUUUAUAUUUUAAGAUUUGUUUUUAUUAGUUUUAUUUUUUAGGAUUUGUUUUUAUUAGAUUUUUAUUUUAUUAGUUUUAUUUUUUAAGAUUUGUUUUUAUUAGUUUUAUUUUUUAGGAUUUGUUUUUAUUAGAUUUUAUUUUUUAGGAUUUGUUUUUAUUAGUUUUAUUUUUUUAAGAUUUAUAUUUUAAGAUUUGUUUUUAUUAGUUUUAUUUUUUAGGAUUUGUUUUUAUUAGAUUUUUAUUUUAUUAGUUUUAUUUU